rnacentral:lncRNA from 1 species
CUUGAGCUGUCUUUCAAACACAAGAUGUUGGAUGCUGGUAAAUCGUUAUGCUCUUUGUUGAAGAUGGUCAUCAUCACCUUCCCACAGGAUGGAGCUAGUACACCUCCUGACAUAAAGCUAUUGUAUCAGAAAGUCAGUGAGCUGGUACAGAAACAUGUACAUACUGCUUCACAAGCUUCAGGAGACGAUAACUCUCUCGGUUCAUUCAGCUUUGUACUUAAUAUCCUCAAAACCUUGGCAGAGGUACAGAAAAACUUUGUUGAUCCAUAUGUACUGGUGCGUAUCCUUCAGCGUCUGGCACGGGAUCUGGGAUUGGCAACGGGUGCUCAUCCUACACAAGUAAGUUAUUCUUUAUUAAUAGCUACUUUCUGAUAUGGUCUUAUUGUAGAUUUUCUGAUUUAUAUUUCACUAGGGUUUUUGUUGUUAAUCACAUCUCAAAUUUUGUAGGUUUCUGCUGAGUAUGACGAACCUUUGAGGAUCGAACUUUUGCAGUUAGCUACUUUGCUUCUGAAAUAUCUUCAGGGUGAGCUGGUUCAUCAUCGAAAAGAGCUUAUCAAGUUUGGAUGGAAUCAUCUCAAACGGGAAGAUAGUCCCAGUAAACAGUGGGCAUUUGUUAAUGUUUGCCACUUCUUGGAUGCGUAUCAGGCUCCGGAGAAAAUCAUUCUGCAGGUAUCAUUUCAGUUGUUACUGCAAUUUUUUUUAUUGUUUCUAUGGAAAGGUGCAAAAGGAAAAAUACGUAACUUCUUAUAUCAGUGUAUAUAAUUUGAUCCAUAAUAAACCUGAAAGUAAGCAUGUGCCUAACAAUUCUCCUCCAUCUAAUCCAGUGAUAUAAACAUGCUUUUGUCAAUUGGAUAUAGGUUUUUGUUGCGCUUCUCAGGACAUACCAGCCGGAGAAUAAGAUGCUAGUUAAGCAAGCCCUGGAUAUUCUAAUGCCAGCAUUACCUAAAAGGCUUGCGUUUGGAGAUUCAAGAGUGCCUAUUUGGAUAAGAUAUACCAAAAAAAUUUUGGUGGAGGAGGGUCACUCAAUUCCAAAUUUGAUCCACAUCUUCCAACUCAUUGUUCGGCACUCGGAUCUGUUUUACAGUUGUAGAGCACAGUUUGUACCUCAGAUGGUGAAUUCCUUGAGUCGCCUAGGUUUACCAUCUAACACUACAGCAGAAAAUAGGCGGCUCGCAAUCGAUCUUGCUGGACUGGUUGUUAGCUGGGAAAGGCAAAGACAGACUGAAAUCAAAGUGGUUAUUGAUGGCAAUGCAACCAGUGAGGUUGGUGAUGGGUUACAUCCUUCAUCCUUAGCUGUUUCUAAGCUUCCGUCAGAUGGAUCUUCCAUAUCUGAAGACCCAACUAGACGAAUUAAAAUUGAAGGUGGUAUCCAGUCAUUGUGUGUUAUGUCACCUGGCGGUGCAUCAUCACUGCCCAGUAUAGAAACUCCUGGAUCUGCUACCCAGCCUGAUGAGGAAUUCAAGCCAAAUGCUGCUAUGGAAGAACUAAUAAUCAAUUUUCUUAUAAGAGUAAGGCUCCCACCUUCUACCAAUGAGCGUGUUUAUAACUUUCCCGUUCAUUCUUUUUUAUUUAUUUAGGGAGGGGUGAUGUUCUGAAAUUUCAGAGCCCAUUCUUCUCUGAGCAAUUUUGUAUCUAUAGAGGUGGCGUUUGGCAGUAGCAGUCCUACAGCAGUAUUUAUUCUGUAUAGAAUUAUAUAAGCGGUUGUGAGGAACGUAGGUUUUCUAAGUUUUGGAUCUGGUUAAGUUCUAGACCUGUAAUAAUUUCGACAUGUUAGUUGUACGUGACAUUGUUCUAGCUAUAGAACUCUUUUAUUAGUUGAGUUCUGUUUAUUACUGUACUUAAAACUUCCUUUCCUCUUCCUUCAACAGGUAGCAGUGGUCAUUGAGCUUAAGGACAGGGAAGCCAACACUAUGUACAAACAAGCUUUAGAUUUUCUUUCACAAGCUUUGGAAGUUUGGCCAAAUGCGAACGUCAAGUUUAACUAUUUAGAAAAGCUGUUAGGCAGCAUGCUACCGUCUCAGUCAGAUCCGUCCGCAGCACUUGCUCAGGGCUUGGAUGUCAUGAACAAAGUUCUGGAGAAGCAGCCGCAUCUUUUCAUUAAGAACAACAUCAGCCAAAUAGCACAGGUAAACUUGCUGCAGUAAGCUGCACCCUAAUAUGUUAAACAUCUCUGCUUUCUGCCUCGUAUUGACUAUUUUUUCCUUUACCAGUUUCUUGAGCUGUCUUUCAAACACAAGAUGUUGGAUGCUGGUAAAUCGUUAUGCUCUUUGUUGAAGAUGGUCAUCAUCACCUUCCCACAGGAUGGAGCUAGUACACCUCCUGACAUAAAGCUAUUGUAUCAGAAAGUCAGUGAGCUGGUACAGAAACAUGUACAUACUGCUUCACAAGCUUCAGGAGACGAUAACUCUCUCGGUUCAUUCAGCUUUGUACUUAAUAUCCUCAAAACCUUGGCAGAGGUACAGAAAAACUUUGUUGAUCCAUAUGUACUGGUGCGUAUCCUUCAGCGUCUGGCACGGGAUCUGGG